rnacentral:rRNA from 1 species
UACGAAGGGGGCAAGCGUUGUUCGGAAUUACUGGGCGUAAAGGGCGCGUAGGCGGCAUUGUUAGUUAGGCGUGAAAGCCCUGGGCUCAACCUGGGAAUUGCGUUUAAUACUGCGAUGCUAGAGUAUAGGAGAGGUUGGUGGAAUAUCCAGUGUAGAGGUGAAAUUCGUAGAUAUUGGAUAGAACACCGGUGGCGAAGGCGGCCAACUGGACUAUUACUGACGCUGAGGCGCGAAAGCGUGGGGAGCAAACAGG